UACGUAGGGUGCAAGCGUUAAUCGGAAUUACUGGGCGUAAAGCGUGCGCAGGCGGCUUUGCAAGACAGAUGUGAAAUCCCCGGGCUUAACCAGGGAACUGCAUUUGUGACUGCAUGGCUGGAGUGCGGCAGAGGGGGAUGGAAUUCCGCGUGUAGCAGUGAAAUGCGUAGAUAUGCGGAGGAACACCGAUGGCGAAGGCAAUCCCCUGGGCCUGCACUGACGCUCAUGCACGAAAGCGUGGGGAGCAAACAGG
rnacentral:rRNA from 1 species